UUCCAGGCUCUACAAAUGUUUCCCCUGUGCCUUCUGGAACUUCUCAUGUUGGGUCAAGGGAGUUCCAUUUAAAUAGUGUUUCACAACCAGACAGUUUUACCACUAAAGUCAGGAAAAAGAUGAGGACUACGGUGAAUAAAAUGGCUUCCUUGUCUCUUAUUGAAAAGAAAGACAACGCAGGCUCAGAUGAAAGCAGCCAAAGUGACCUGAUCAGAAGAUCUUCUGAUAAAAGUGAUAAAGGCACACCUCUCUCAAGAAGUCCUAAUGCUAUGAAAAGACGCCAGAACUCUUG
rnacentral:sRNA from 1 species